rnacentral:rRNA from 1 species
AUGCCAACGUGCCUCCUCCCCCUCUUCCUCCUCCUCGCCUUGUGGCCGCCGACGGCGAGGGUUGACGCUACCUCCACGGUGAGCCCGCUGAAUCUAAUUUGCAACCAGACCGCCGGCACGUACACGGCAAGCAGCAGCUACGGGUACAACCUGCGGAAUCUCGGAGCGGCCCUCGCCACCCGUGCCGGUGCGUCAGGCUUCGCCAAGGGCAGCUCCGGGGAGGCGCCCGACAAGGUCUACGGCGAAGUGCUCUGCCGCGGCGACUACACCGGCGCCAAGUGCACCGACGGCCUCACAGCCGCCUUCCAUGACGUGGACGGGCUCUGCCGGACCCGGAACGCCGUCGUCUACUACGACCAGUACAUGCUCCGCUUCACUGACGACGAGCAGUCCCUCUCGAGCGUCAGCAACGAGCCGGAAUGGUCCGGGUAUAAUAUGAACUCAGUCAAGGGCACUGAGGCGGCGGAGAUGUUGCUGGAGAGGGUAGUGAAGCUGAUGAACAGCAUGGCCGGCCUGGCCACCUCCGGCAGCCCCAGGUCGACCAUCCUGCUGUAUGCGACCGGCGAGGCAGGGUUCGGCGAGCAGGGCGUGAGCACGGUGUAUGGUAUGGUGCAGUGCAAGUUGGACCUCACAGGGCCACAGUGCAAGAGCUGCCUUGACGGCAUCAUCGGGCAGAUGAGGAAGCUGUUCAGCAACGACAGCAGCCAGGUCCUCAUCGGGGGCAGGCUCAUUGGAGUUCGGUGUAAUCUGCGAUACGAGAAGGAACUCUUCUUCGAGGAGACAAACGACACUAUCAAGAUCGACAUGCCGAAAAAUGGAAUGAGCGGGGUGCUUAAGAUUGUCAUAUUUGGAGUUCCUCUUCUAGUUUUGCUCAUCUUAGGAUUGCUCCUAAGGCCAUGUAUUGUGAAGAAAGUCAGAGAAUUAUUAUUGCAUAGGGAUCUAGUCAUCCUUGAAAAGGAAAUUGUAAGUGAAAGCGACUCGAGGUUUUCACUAUUCAGAUAUUCGAAGAUAAGAAGUGCUACUGAUAACUUUUCAAAAGAGAAUAAACUUGGAGAAGGUGGAUUUGGUCAUGUUUACAAGGGUCGGUUGACUCAGGAUCAGGACAUAGCGGUCAAACGACUUUCUCCGAAUUCAGUUCAAGGAUUCCGUGAGUUCAUGAACUAA